UAAAUGUGCUAGUGCUAGGUGCUUGUAAAAAAUGGGAGCGGUUUUUAAGUCGAAGGGCAUUUGUCCCAACUUGGAGGAAAUCUUUCUGCACACUUUCAUUCAAGAGGCGGGUUUGGAUAGAACCUGCUGGCGACCUGUUAUGCCAACAUAGCCUACAAAGACUUGGGCAAGCUUCAAACGCGUCAGGCUGGGAGAUCUGAACAGAACCGCCGGUUCCUUUGAGAUUUUUCUGGAGCACAACAACCGAUGUCAGAAUGCCCUACUUGGAAGGGUCAUUCUGAAACUGAAUCAACACGACCCACGUCUCCAUAGGGGAGGGUACAAAUCUCCUCAAUACAGCCUAUGAACUUUAUGAACGCCAUCCAGUAGUCUUCAGUUUCUUGCUACCUACAACUAUUUAAUUGAAAAUCACCAACUGCUGUAAAUUUGGCUCAAAUUUCCAUUGGCUUCUUCGACAUUGCGCAGCUGCAGUUGCUGUAAGGUGGCCAGAAUCACCAUGCAAGUGGGGAAUACUACUUCGCCAGGACAUACUACCAGAAUUCAGAGAGUUUCGCACCUGAAGGCUUCCAGCGGUUAUGAAGUUGUAGUGCCCUACAAGUCCAUUAUCGCCAAAUAUCUAAGCUAUUAUGACUGCCUGAUGUCCCGCUCAUAGACAACAACAAUAUUGCAGCCAGGACCUAUUCGGAAAGCUGAAACUUAGCAAAAAGUCCUCUAUCUUCGAUGUGAUCCUGCGUAGCUCGGGAAGUACGAUGAUGAUGAUGAUGACUCUAUCUAAGAAAAGUCCGAAAAGCGCGAUGAGAGGGGACUUGUCAUUAGCCAGAAAACAUCAGGAAUAUGCCUUGAACUUAAGGUUCCAGAAACUAUUAGGUCGCCAGUUAAAUUGGCUACCAGGCUAUUGAGCUACUACAUCGGGAAUUGAAGUCCCUGCAUAUUUCAAGACGAUGUCCCUAUCCAUUUCCUCGUCUCUGAAGUGGAUUUGGGCCAGUCCCAUUUAAGGCAAAACAUGCCUUCAGGUGCGAAACUCACGGAAUCCCGAUAGUAUUUCAUGGCGAAUUUGUAUUCCCCACUUGCAUGGUGACUCUGGCCACCUUAUAGGAACUGCAGCUGCUUAAUGUCGAUGACCAGCUGGUGAUCCCCAGGAAAUAGUAGUAGGUCGCAAGAAUACUUAAGCUACUUAAUGGCGUUUAUCAAGUUCAUAGGCCGCAUUGAGGAGACUUACACCCUCCCUGCAGAGACGUGGGUCGCGUUGAUUAAGUUUUAGAAUGACCCUUCCAAGUAAGGGCAUUCUGACAUCGACUGUUGUGCUCCAGAGCCAUCUCAAAGGAACGGCGGCACUGUUCAGAUCACC